UACGAAGUGGGCUAGCGUUGCUCGGAAUGACUGGGCGUAAAGGGCGCGUAGGCGGUUUGUACAGUCAGGUGUGAAAUUCCCGGGCUCAACCUGGGGGCUGCACUUGAUACGUCUGAACUGGAGUGGGGAAGAGGGUCGUGGAAUUCCCAGUGUAGAGGUGAAAUUCGUAGAUAUUGGGAAGAACACCGGUGGCGAAGGCGGCGACCUGGUCCUUGACUGACGCUGAGGCGCGAAAGCGUGGGUAGCAAACAGG
rnacentral:rRNA from 1 species